AGAGAUGUGUGGUUGUGGUUGUGGUUGUUGGCCAUCGUGCCAACUCUUUAUUGUGAUUGUGGUUGUCGGCCAUCGUGCCGUUUCUUAUGUUGCAGGUUUUGGAAACCUCCCCGUGCAGGGGAGAUGCUGCCGAAAUUUUGACUUAAACAAUGCUUUGUUUCUUUUGUUGCAGGAGAGGCUUACAAGGACCGUCCUCGACUCGUCACUUUGCAGGAUAGCAAGGUGAGGCAUGCUACACCUCUAUUUCCGUAUAAUGUUCGUAUAUCACGUAACCUAGUUAGGCGUCUCCCGUUCGAAAGAGAUACGGUUGGAAAUAUGCAGAUCUUUGC
rnacentral:lncRNA from 1 species